UUCCUUACGGGGGGCAGCAGUGGGGAAAUUUGGACAAUGGGGGGCAAGCCGAUCCCAGCCAUGCCGCGUGCAGAAAAAAGGCCUUCGGGUGGUAAACUGUUUUAGUAGAGAAGGAGAAAGCCCUAGUAAUACUCUGGAUAAUGACGUACUCGUAGAUAAGACC
rnacentral:rRNA from 1 species